CCUAACUAGCUGUUUGCACAUGAAAUUGUUUCAUGUGAUUAGGCAGGUAACGGCCCCGUAGAGCUGCACGUCUAUAUUUUACACAGUAAACAGAAGCCCUGAAGCCAAUCUCCCUGACACACACUCCUGAUUUACACCCUGAGCCAGGCAGAUAAUUACAUUUCAGUUUGAUAUAUAAAAAGCAGCAGGGGAAGCUUAUGAAGAAUUAGCCCAGCUUUCUGCAAUACCUGCCUCUCUUCAUCAGCUUAACAAAUUCCUGCCAUUUCAACAGAGGAUCCACGCUGGGCAUUAGAGUGAACACAAAUCCCAGGGGCUGCUAUGCCUUCUUCCCAGGUAGCCUCAGUCCCAGGGCCCAGCAAGGCCGAGGCCUGUGGCAGGAUGGGAGGCAGAGGUCUCCUGUGACAUGAAAAAAUUGCUUCCCCACGAGCAUGUGUCAGAUCUUUCGAACCAAGGUGCAGCUAACAAGACAAUCAUGUCCUGACACAGCUAAAGCAGCCACUAGCGCAGUCCGUGAAUAAAGAGUUUGACACUGACUGUAACAUUUAAAGAGAAAUCUCUCUCCAAUCCACUAGCACUAGUCACUGGCAGUGAAAUCUUGAUGGAAGUCUCCUGGUUCAUUCCUGUCAUUACAACUUGCUUGUUUCCACUGUGUAUUUGUCUACGGCUUCCAGAGUUAUGGAUGUUAUUAAGUUUGGAUAUUUUUAUGGACUCACCCACUUACAGUGUACAAGCAAAAUAACCCUUUGUUCUAAUUUAGUUUUUUUCUUUCCCUACUUCCCAUCAAGCAAUUGCUAAUAAAUGACCAAAUAAAUGCAUUCAGAUUGAGCCAUAAUGGAGAGAAAUGCAGUGUCCAAUGAACGGAUCAUUUGCACCCCAAGACUGUAAAGAUGAAUUAUGGUGACACUUCUUCCAAAGUCCUUUUAGUUUAAAAUAUUUCUCCUUGGGAAGAAACAAAAAAAAAGCGCAACAUAUGGAUUUUACCGGGAAGGAUGUGAACAUGCACGAAACAGAACUGUCACAGCCAAAAUUGCUUCAUAUAUCAUAGACCAACACCAGGCAGAUAAUGGCAAACCACUUCUGAUCAGGGAGUGAUUAUUAUUGCUGAUUCCAAGCAUGAUGCACAGAGCAGACAGGCUUACAGCUUGAUUUUCUUAAAUUGGGCUGACCUUGCAGCGUUGAGAUUCAUAAUGGGUUUGCGUUGACCGGUAAAAUAGGGUGGCAACAUGAUGGAGAAGUUAUAAAGGAAGUCAAUCAUCUCUCUUCUCUCUCUUGCUUUCCUUUUUCAAAUGAGAGUGUCUCUUUUCAUGUCUUUGUUGAAGGUGUGCGUGGUAGCAACCUGUGUUCCUGUCUGCUACUGUUGGCUUUCAAAUUAUCCCAAAAUUACCCUUCCCCAAUGGAAAUGUGUGGUCAGAUGAGUUAUCAGAACUCAGGCAUUGGCAAAAAUGGGAAGUGGAGUGGGGGAAUUAUGACUGGAUCAUUUAUUUUAAUGCCAGUCUGUUCUUCCCUGGAUAAUCUGAUGUGAUAUUCAAACGUCAGCAGUUUUCUGUAAUAUGCCUUUUUUUUAAUUUGUUUCGCUAAUGAAUGAAGAAAAGUUAUUAAUACAGAACCCAGAAGCAGCCUGAUGCAAAUGACUCAGGAGUGGCAUGAGUGUGUGUGUGGGGGGGGGGGGAUGAAUUACUGAAUGCUGAGCCAGUCUGGUUAGUGCUGUCUGCACUGGGCGGGAGCCCAUCACGUAUGAGAGUCUGAUGAUGAUUUCCAUAGUGACACAGGAAAGAAAGAGCAAUGUAAUCAAAUAAGAGAGCACCUGGUCUUGGGGAAACAACCACUUAGCAGGGACUCAGAAGAUCUGCAUUGAAGUCCUGGCUUUGGCAUAAACUCCCUGUAUGACCUGGCCAGGGUGCUGGGACAAUUUAAAUAAUGGGGGUGCUGAGAGCCAUUGAACCAAACUGUAAACUCUGCAUAUGAUGGAAACCACUUCACGUCAGGGGAUGCAGCAGCACCCCUAGUUCCAGCACCUAUGUCUUGAGCAAGUUAUUUAAUGUGUCUGUCCCAGUAUCCUGUCUAUACAAUGGGGUAAUAAUUCUUUAUUUAUUAAUAAUACUUUAAGGAUUCUUAAUAAUCCUUUCUUCCAACUUUUGUCUAUUUCACUUGUAAACUCUUUAAGGUGGGACAGCCUCCCACUAUGUACAGUACCUGCCACUAGGAGGCCACUAGAUACUAUUUUAAUACAAAUUAACAACAAAUGCUAUGGCUGGAGAUUGCUAAACUCUGAACAUUACAACAACAUGUUGACAUUUCAAACUGGUGGUGCUGGCAGAGACAGGAUACUGAGCUAUAUGGACCACUGGUCUGAUCUCGUCUGGAGAUUGCUAUGUGCCUAUGACAAGCAUCUCAUUCUUAAAGAACAAGGUCCUUUCCUGGAAGAGCUGACAUCCCAAAGAAGAGAAUGCAGUACCUCCCAACAAGAAGUUCAAGGGCUCAAACUGCUGCCCAACAGCCAAAUAAGGCCACCAGAAUCCUCCUGAGAACAUUUGCCCUUUGGCUUGCCCUCUCCAUGGAUCUGAUCUUGCAAAGUGCUUCUGGACACCUCAAUCUCCCACUGCUCAGCAUCUUGUCAGGUGGGAUCUGCAGAGGGUGAUAAGGAGAAAGCUGAUCAGCUUCAGGUUUCUUUUGUUGGUGGGCAAAAACAAGCAGCAAGGUUUUUAUUUAAAAUACAAGGGAAAGUUUGAGUGAAAGGUGAGAUGGUAGGAUGAAUGUGUGCACGGGAUUUCUGGUCCCCACUCCCAGUCCUUUGGGCUGAAUCCCCAGCUGGC